GAGCCAAAGAAACAACACAGAGCUUAGCAGCUAAUAAUAUCCAGGUCAGACUGUAAGCGGGAUAAACAUUUGACCGAGACGUCGGGAAUUUCACGAAGGGAUCCGAAAAAGCCUGAUGUUUACUGCCAGGUGAAAAACAAGCUGAGGGCUUGCAAGAGAGCCUGACGUUCGGCGACAUUCAAUCUGGAUUUCGACUUGUUCACUGGCAACCUCAAUCCGAUCUACAAAACAAAGAAAGUGCUGUUUGGUGUCUGUGCACAGCAGCAGAUAAACCUACAAGACGUCCUUCUGAUCGGGUUGCCGCACGAACGAAACAUGUUACGAUCGACAGGAGCAACCGAUCCAGCAGGAACAUCUGGAUAGAGCAAUUGUUAAAAACGAAUAAACAAAUAAAAGAAAUUACGGACGAUGCUACGGAGCGACGUCAUGAAGGUGAAUCGUUAAACGGUGGAUACUGAACACACUGUUCAAUGUGUAUGAGAGGGAAAGAGACUAAAAAGCAGACUGGAUCUCAUCCUAACAGAUGUGUGUAACAUGUUAAAAAGCAGCAGGCCUGUGAACUGUGAAGCUUCCCAGCAGACACCGUCUCUCACUGUAAGGCUCCUCUGAUGGUGUCUGUCGGUCUGUCAGACAUGUUUAUUACUCGCAACAGCAAAAACAUGUCGUUUCAUGGACGGCGAGGAAACACGGCAGCUCUGAGAGUAUGUCAUCUACAGUAAGUAGAACAGUGAGAUGUGUAAUCAUCUGGAAACAGCUCACUUCACAACAAAGGAACUACUGACUGCAUUGAUCUCUAUGGAGGCCUGCAUUUUCUUUCAGAAACAGAGGUCUAACAGAGUUACAUCAUUCUCCAAAAUUCACACACACACACACACACACACACACACACACACACACACACACACACACACACACA